AUUGAACGCUGGCGGCAGGCCUAACACAUGCAAGUCGAGCGGUAGCACAGAGAGCUUGCUCUCGGGUGACGAGCGGCGGACGGGUGAGUAAUGUCUGGGAAACUGCCUGAUGGAGGGGGAUAACUACUGGAAACGGUAGCUAAUACCGCAUAACGUCGCAAGACCAAAGAGGGGGACCUUCGGGCCUCUUGCCAUCAGAUGUGCCCGGAUGGGAUUAGCUAGUAGGUGGGGUAACGGCUCACCUAGGCGACGAGCCCUAGCUGGUCUGAGAGGAUGACCAGCCACACUGGAACUGAGACACGGUCCAGACUCCUACGGGAGGCAGCAGUGGGGAAUAUUGCACAAUGGGCGCAAGCCUGAUGCAGCCAUGCCGCGUGUAUGAAGAAGGCCUUCGGGUUGUAAAGUACUUUCAGCGGGGAGGAAGGCGAUAAGGUUAAUAACCUUGUCGAUUGACGUUACCCGCAGAAGAAGCACCGGCUAACUCCGUGCCAGCCGCCGCAGUAA
rnacentral:rRNA from 1 species